GGUUAAUAGGUUCGAGGUGGAAGCAUGGUGACAUGUGGAGCUGACGAAUACUAAUCGAUCGAAGACUUAAUCAAAUU
rnacentral:rRNA from 1 species